rnacentral:pre_miRNA from 1 species
GGGGAAAGAAAGAUGCAGCGUGAGGGAGUGCAUGAAAUGGGAGGGUGGGAAAGACGGUGAGUCGAGCGUGUGUCAUGGCGUUCUGCUCUUUUUCCUAUUCCUCCCAUUCCAUACACUCCAUCGCCUCCUUCCUUUCCCC